AGGACGAACGCUGGCGGCGUGCUUAACACAUGCAAGUCGAACGGUAAGGCCCUUUCGGGGGUACACGAGUGGCGAACGGGUGAGUAACACGUGGGUGAUCUGCCCUGCACUUUGGGAUAAGCCUGGGAAACUGGGUCUAAUACCGAAUACACCUUUCUGGUCGCAUGGCCUGGUGAGGGAAAGCUUUUGCGGUGUGGGAUGGGCCCGCGGCCUAUCAGCUUGUUGGUGGGGUGAUGGCCUACCAAGGCGACGACGGGUAGCCGGCCUGAGAGGGUGUCCGGCCACACUGGGACUGAGAUACGGCCCAGACUCCUACGGGAGGCAGCAGUGGGGAAUAUUGCACAAUGGGCGCAAGCCUGAUGCAGCGACGCCGCGUGAGGGAUGACGGCCUUCGGGUUGUAACCUCUUUCAGUAGGACGAAGCGCAAGUGACGGUACCUACGAGAAGAAGCACCGGCCAACGUACGUGCCAGCAGCCGC
rnacentral:rRNA from 1 species